rfam:Chlamydiae bacterium RIFCSPHIGHO2_12_FTLL_49_9 rifcsphigho2_12_scaffold_42018, whole genome shotgun sequence.
GCACCGAUAGCUCAAUGGAUAGAGCACUUGGCUUCGGACCAAGGGGUUAGGGGUUCGAGUCCCUUUCGGUGCA